UAUCAGUCUCCGCUAAAAGUCGUCGUCUGGAUCACAAUAUAGGUAAAUACGUUUGGAGCAGAAGCCGAUGCUGUGUGUGAGAGUGUUUGUGUGCCUCUGUGUGUAUGUUUGCAUGUAUGCAUGAGUGAGUGACCCCUGAAAAAGAACGGAGCAGUUGGAACCAAACAAGUUAAAAGCAGGCAGAGUGAGUGUGCGUGUGUGUGUGUGUGUGUGCGUCUGUGUGUGAGCGAGAAAGGAUGAGAGUAAGUGUGAGAGGACUAAGAGGGUUAGCGAGAGAGAGAGUGAGACAGAGAGAGAGAGGGAGAGGGGGAGAGAGAGAGAGAGAGAGAGAGGGGGAGAGAGAGAGAGAGAGAGAGAGGGGCUGGAGGGGUGGCUUUGCCACUACAGAUCUGAGGAGAAGCAAAGCUUGCCGUCUGUAAAACAGGGUCUUUCCCUCUUCCCUCCUUCCCGAGCGCCAUCUCUCCCACGCUCCGGACCUCCCGAGGUACAGCACUGCUGUGUCCUCGCGCGUGUGUGUGUGUUUGUGCGGAAGCAUUCUUGUGUGUAGAGACUGUUGUUGCUGUUGGUCUCGCUCUCUCUCUCUCUCUCUGCAGCUGAGGUGGGCGUGUGGAGCCCUGACCCUCUCGCCCACUCACUCUCUCUCUCUCUCUCUCUCUCUCUCUCUCUCUCUCUCUCUCUCUCUCUCUCUCUCUCUCUCUCUCUCUCUCUCUCUCUCUCUCUCUCUCUCUCUCUCUCUCUCUCUCUCUCUCUCUCUCCCUCGCUGCUGCUGCUAGGGAGCUAUGGAUGGAUUUCGUUUGCCACCACUCAUCGAGGAAGCACUGGACUCUACAGAUGACCUGUGUGAGCUGAAGUCAGGCAGCAUGGAGGAAGACAACGAUGCGAUGACUGUGAAGGAGCGCGGACUGUUGGGGGAGAACGAAGAGAAGGAGGCCAUGGACCAGGAGAAGAAGCUCAAAGACGAGGAGGAGGAGGAGGAGGAGCAGGAGGAGCUGACCCAGGAGCAGGAGAUCGAGGAGCUGCGCUCCCAGGCACUGCAGAUGUUGCUGGAGGUGGAGGAGGCCAGAGUCACCUCCAACCGACACCAGGAGAGCUUCCACGAACUGCAAGGUUUCCUGGAGGAUGAGCGUCUGGCCAGUGCCCACCAGGCUGAAGCUUUUACCCGCCAGAUCCAAAAUCUACAAGCCCGCCUGCGCUCUGUGCAGGAGGAGAUGGACAGCCUGGAGGAGGAGAAGGAGAGCGAGCUGUCCGAGGCCCAGGAGGAGCUGCGCGUGGCCCAGGAGGAGGUGGUGCUCCUGCAGCAGGCGGCGGAGGAGGCGGCGGCCGAGCGGGAGAACGACAUCGCCUCCCUGCAGGAGGAGCUGUGCCGGCUGCGGGCGCAGAUGGAGCGGCUGGGCGAGGAGACGCAGGAGUACGAGCUGGAGAUCACCACGCUGAGGGCCGAGAUCAGCAUGAAGAGCCAGCGCAGAGACGCAGAGCGCAGAGAGGGCGACGUGUUCCUGCUAAAGGAGGAGUGCUGCACGCUGAGGGAGGAAUGCCAGACGCUGAGGGCGGAGAACCGACAGAUCUCCGAGAGGCUGCAGCUGCUGCAUCGCCAGAGGACGAGCUCCAGCAGCAUCUACCUCUCACUGAAGGAGGAGGACGCCGACGUGGAUGAGGAGGUGGAGGAGGAGGAGGAGGCGCCGACGGAGAAGGAGAAGGAAGGCGCCGAGCAGACGGAGACGGCCUCGGAGGCGUGCGCGGCGGAGAGCUACAUGACCAUGAUGGAGCAGCAGACGGCGGUGUGCUCCGGCGGCGGCGGCGGCCGAGGCGGCCGAGGCGUGGACGCCUGCAUCCAGAAGAACAUCUCCUUCGACGGGAAGCCCGGCACGCCCACCGGGUGGAACGGGGGCUUCGGGGAGAUCUUCUCCCUGAGAGACCAGCUGAAGCAGGCGGAGGAGAGGGCGCAGCAGGUCCAGAGGGAGUGCGACGGUCUGAAGACGGAGCUGCGGGAGCUGCAGGUGCUCUAUGACAGCAGCCAGCAGGAGAAGGCGGAGCUAGAGGCGGAGCUUCAGCACUGCAAGGCGGAGCUGGAGAAACUGUCGCACGGAGCUCAGGACUGAUUGUAAUAGUGGCUGUGAUUUGGUGCUGGCUGUCGGAGCUGGCGUCCCAGAGGGCGAGGGGGGUGAGGUGAGUUUGAACGCCAUCUUGACGGCGGGGGCGGCGGGGCAGCGGCGGGGCAGCUGUGCUGAUGGCGACCGGACUGUGGAGAGCCACGCCCCGUGGUUAAACACAAGAGCGUCAGUCUGCUUCAGCCCCCCCCCCCCUCAUCCCCCAGCCC